UCUUAGGGAUGAGCAAAGAAAGUGGUUUCUUGAGAGGGAAUCUAUUGGUGGAGAUGCUGUGAA
rnacentral:pre_miRNA from 1 species